GAUGAGAACGCAGCGAAAUGCGAUAAGUAAUGUGAAUUGCAGAAUUCAGUGAAUCAUCGAAUCUUUGAACGCACAUUGCGCCCGCCAGUAUUCUGGCGGGCAUGCCUGUUCGAGCGUCAUUUCAACCAUCAAGCCCCAGGCUUGUGUUGGGGACCUGCGGCUGCCGCAGGCCCUGAAAACCAGUGGCGGGCUCGCUGUCACACCGGGCGUAGUAGAUUUUAUCUCGCUCAGGGCGUGCUGCGGGUUCCUGCCGUUAAAAAGCCUUUUUUACCCAAGGUUGACCUCGGAUCAGGUAGGAAGACCCGCUGAACUUAAGCAUAUCAAUAAGCGGAGGA
rnacentral:misc_RNA from 1 species